rnacentral:rRNA from 1 species
GACGAACGCUGGCGGCGUGCCUAAUACAUGCAAGUUGAGCGCUGAAGGUUGGUACCUGUACCAACUGGGUGUGCCGCGAACGGGUGAGUAACGCGUGUGGCCUCUGCCUUUGAGCGGGGGACAACAUUUGGAAACGAAUGCUAAUACCGCAUAAACUCUUUCAACACAAGUUUUAAGUUUGAAAUAUGCCAUUUCAUCACUCAAAGAUGAUCCCGCGUUGUAUUAGCUAGUUGGUGAGGUAAAGGCUCACCAAGGCGAUGCUACAGAGCCGACCUGAGAGGGUGAUCGGCCACAGUGAGACGGAGACACGGCCCAAACGGCCACGGGAGGCAGCAGGAGGGAAACGUCGGCAAGGGACGAAAGACUGAGCGAGCAACGCCGCGUGAGGGAAGAAGGUUGUCGGAUCGGAAAAAUCGGUUGGUAGAGAAGAAAGUUGGUGAGAGUGGAAAGCACAGUAAGUGACGGUAACGACUCAGAAAGGGACGGCUAACUACGUG